CCUCCACGAUCUCAUAUCAUAUCCACUUCUUCAAUUCAAUUCUUCACCGACAUGAUUUCAUACCAAAAGAAAACUUCACAAUCUCUACAUUUUUCGUAUUCCCAACAGACCCAAAAUCAAGAAAUCUCAAAUCUUUCACUAUUUCUCUUCACUUUUCUUACCAUGAAUUGAAUCUGUCGACAUAGAAAGUAGAAAAAAGAGUUUGACGUGAUGAAAACAUGUAUUUUGCUUUUAUACAAUCAAACAAAAGUAACGAGAUUGAAAACCAAAGGAACAUAAACUAUUGGCAAAAAGGUAUGAUUCUUCACUAUCAAAAGCUGCAGUUCAUAAGUUUUUUCUACUAACUGUUUGUCAAAAUGGGUGACAUAAAAUUUGGUUUAAUAGAGCAGCACAAGAACAUAUUACGGCUCUUACAUACCUUUUCUUCACUAAGAUUUUUUAGAUCUCUACUGUCUCUUUGUCUAUCUCUAUUGAACCUCCUUCGUUUGGUUGGGAUCGAAGAGAAGAGUAAAAGUGUGAAAUCAACCAAAAGUGGCGGCUUUCAAGUAUAAAACCAGAGAAACUCUUACAAGUUUUUUGCGAUUGUAUCAAAUUCAAGAGUAAAAAAGCAUGCCUAAUUUUCUAAGGUUUGUUUUAUGAAUAAAUUUGAACAGUUUUCAUUUCACUUCAUCACUUGCAGAUAUUGAUAUAUAGCUAUAUCCAUAAUCCAUGUCUGUUUAAGUGUUAAGUAUCCAUCUUUGCUAAGAUUAAUUCACGCCUGACUAAUGAUUCUUAUACUAGCUUAUGAUCGAUAUAUAUAUAUAUAUAUAUGUUUAUUAACUCAUUUAGCAAAUCGAGAUAUAAUUAGUUCUCUAAUAUUUCAUAACCACUUCACCUCUGAAUUUAAAUAUUUUCAAAAAACAAGUUUUGAGAAGAUAAGCCACUGUAAUCUCAAAUUUAAUUUAGAAAAUUAGAAGGUUUUUUUGUCAUCAGAAAAUAGGAACUUUUAGAUCAUAGUUUUGUUUUAAUCAAGUAGAAUUUUACAUAGCUUAUCAUUAACACAAAACAGUUUAUUCAUUCGUAUAAAAUCAAUCUUAUUUUUUUUCCCCGUACGUAGUACGGGUGGUAUACUAGUUUCUUAUAAAGAAAUCAUCAUAUAUAUAAAAGUAGAGUUUCAGUCUCUCCUUAUUGGUCCA